UNGGAGAGUGGGGUAGUCUGCUGGG
rnacentral:piRNA from 1 species